UGGUCACACCUGUCACAUUCACUAUUCUGCUGAAGUCCAUAUCUGCAUCUGACCUGAUCGCCAUCUGGGUCAAAGGCCAUCAAGUGGUGUGAAGGUCAGUGAGCCUCCAUAAUAAUGUCCUGCUGAAGCGAUGGACACCAGAAGCAGAAGAUUCAAUACCACCGCUGAAGACAUCAUGCUAUCUGAGUCUUGAUCUGAGUCUACCUGUAAAGUGCACCUGUGCACCUGCUUAUAUACAUCACAGCUUCAUAUCAGACUCAGGAGAACAACAUGCAACGAGUCCGAGCGCAUCUCUUUGGGGAAACAAUUUGAGAGGCGGAUUUUAACGGGAGGUGGAUCUGCCUACACAUGACCUGACGCCAGCAGAGGACAUCACUGCGUCCACCCUCACCGCUGAAAGGGUUUGGGGGCUUUGAAAUCGGACCCAAGAAACGCAAGCAAGGUCCAACCCCAAAGUACUCUUACAAAUCAAGUUCAUAUACAUUAAGGUUUCUUAUGAAAACAUUUUAAUUAUUAUUUACAUAAAAUAAACGUAAUACAGCCACACAACAAACUUAUUAUUAUUAACUUAUGAAAAUAUUUUAAUCGUUAUUUGCAUGAGAAUUUUUUAACGCAGCCACACAAUAAAUAAAAACUAUCACCACAAUGCUCACCACUAUGAUUC